CUCUCUGUAUGUGUAUGUGUGUGUAUAUAUAUUUGUGUGUAUAUAUAUAUAUACACACACACAUACACAUACAGAGAGAGAGAGAGUAACAGCUAAUU
rnacentral:miRNA from 1 species